CGCGGCCUAUCAGCUUGUUGGUGAGGUAACGGCUCACCAAGGCGACGACGGGUAGCCGGCCUGAGAGGGCGACCGGCCACACUGGGACUGAGACACGGCCCAGACUCCUACGGGAGGCAGCAGUGGGGAAUAUUGGACAAUGGGCGAAAGCCUGAUCCAGCAACGCCGCGUGAGGGAUGACGGCCUUCGGGUUGUAAACCUCUUUCAGCAGGGACGAAGCGCAAGUGGCGGUACCUGCAGAAGAAGCACCGGCCAACUACGUGCCAGCAGCCGCGGUAAUACGUAGGGUGCGAGCGUUGUCCGGAAUUAUUGGGCGUAAAGGGCUCGUAGGCGGUUUGUCACGUCGGGAGUGAAAACUCGGGGCUCAACCCCGAGCCUGCUUCCGAUACGGGCAGACUAGAGGUAUGCAGGGGAGAACGGAAUUCCUGGCGUAGCGGUGAAAUGCGCAGAUAUCAGGAGGAACACCGGUGGCGAAGGCGGUUCUCUGGGCAUUACCUGACGCUGAGGAGCGAAAGUGUGGGGAGCGAACAGGAUUAGAUACCCUGGUAGUCCACACCGUAAACGUUGGGCGCUAGGUGUGGGACCUAUUCCAUGGGUUCCGUGCCGCAGCUAACGCAUUAAGCGCCCCGCCUGGGGAGUACGG
rnacentral:rRNA from 1 species